rfam:Xenorhabdus poinarii str. G6 chromosome, complete genome.
CAGGAUAGUGAAUGUCUUUGGAAGCCAGUGCAAACGCAACAGUUUUGUCAGGCUGACCGUGAAUCGAUAUGGGUCAUCAAGGUGAAUAUUGAUGAACAGGUCGAGCCUCACAGGUCUGUUGCGUGUGCUUUUAUUUGAUGAAUUCUAACUGAAUUGGUAGCACAUGAACCCCAUAAUAACGAAUCGGUUACAAAAUAAGCUAGGAUAUACCUUUAAAC